rnacentral:rRNA from 1 species
AGUCGACGGCAGCGCGGGGCACCUGGCGGCGAGUGGCGAACGGGUGAGUAAUAUAUCGGAACGUACCCAGAAGUGGGGGAUAACGUAGCGAAAGUUACGCUAAUACCGCAUACGAUCUACGGAUGAAAGUGGGGGACCUUCGGGCCUCAUGCUUUUGGAGCGGCCGAUAUCUGAUUAGCUAGUUGGUGAGGUAAAGGCUCACCAAGGCGACGAUCAGUAGCUGGUCUGAGAGGACGACCAGCCACACUGGGACUGAGACACGGCCCAGACUCCUACGGGAGGCAGCAGUGGGGAAUUUUGGACAAUGGGCGCAAGCCUGAUCCAGCAAUGCCGCGUGAGUGAAGAAGGCCUUCGGGUUGUAAAGCUCUUUUGUCAGGGAAGAAACGGCUGGGGCUAAUAUCCUCGGCUAAUGACGGUACCUGAAGAAUAAGCACCGGCUAACUACGUGCCAGCAGCCGCGGUAAUACGUAGGGUGCAAGCGUUAAUCGGAAUUACUGGGCGUAAAGCGUGCGCAGGCGGUUUUGUAAGUCUGUCGUGGAAGCCCCGGGCUCAACCUGGGAAUUGCGAUGGAGACU